GACAGAGGAUGCAAGCGUUAUCCGGAAUUAUUGGGCGUAAAGAGCUCGUAGGCGGUUUGUCGCGUCUGUCGUGAAAGUCCGGGGCUCAACUCCGGAUCUGCGGUGGGUACGGGCAGACUAGAGUGCAGUAGGGGAGACUGGAAUUCCUGGUGUAGCGGUGAAAUGCGCAGAUAUCAGGAGGAACACCGAUGGCGAAGGCAGGUCUCUGGGCUGUAACUGACGCUGAGGAGCGAAAGCAUGGGGAGCGAACAGG
rnacentral:rRNA from 1 species